rnacentral:rRNA from 1 species
GAUGAACGCUGGCGGCGUGCUUAACACAUGCAAGUCGAACGGAAAGGCCCAAGCUUGCUUGGGUACUCGAGUGGCGAACGGGUGAGUAACACGUGGGUGAUCUGCCCUGCACUUCGGGAUAAGCCUUGGAAACUGGGUCUAAUACCGGAUAGGACCACAUUUUGGAUGGUGUGGUGGAAAGUUUUUCGGUGUGGGAUGAGCUCGCGGCCUAUCAGCUUGUUGGUGGGGUAAUGGCCUACCAAGGCGUCGACGGGUAGCCGGCCUGAGAGGGUGUACGGACACAUUGGGACUGAGAGACGGCCCAGACUCCUACGGGAGGCAGCAGUGGGGAAUAUUGCACAAUGGGCGCAAGCCUGAUGCAGCGACGCCGCGUGGGGGAUGAAGGCCUUCGGGUUGUAAACUCCUUUCGCUAGGGACGAAGCGUUUUUGUGACGGUACCUGGAGAAGAAGCACCGGCUAACUACGUG